GGGGACCCAAGGUGCGUGGGUUCGAAACCCGCAGGGGAACACCAAAUCCGGAGCCACUUUUCAGCUCUUUAAAUAAGGGAAUGUGAACUUGCCAAGUAGGUAUCUUCGGGCGGACCUACUAUCUGAUUUAGCUGAUUUUUCCUGGGCUGGGAACCUGUAUCGCAUGUACCAAUCCUGUCUCUCAUUUGAUUUUCCUAUGUUCUUACUAGUUAUAUCUUGGCGCGUUUUCAACACUAGCAUUCCUCCUGUAUAACCAACUCUUGCCUGUAUUUAAUAUCACACAAGGACUUGUCAUAAGCACUGCUUGCAUACAAGUAUAACGGA
rnacentral:sRNA from 1 species